AGUCUCGUAGCUCAGACGGUUAGAGCGCUACACUGAUAAUGUAGAGGUCCGCGGUUCAAUUCCGCGCGAGACUACGA
rnacentral:tRNA from 1 species